GACGAACGCUGGCGGCGUGCUUAACACAUGCAAGUCGAACGGUGAAGGGAUCAGCUUGCUGGUUCUGGAUGAGUGGCGAACGGGUGAGUAACACGUGAGUAACCUGCCCCCUUCUUCUGGAUAACCGCAUGAAAGUGUGGCUAAUACGGGAUAUUCUGCGCCUGCUGCAUGGUGGGUGUGGGAAAGAUAUUGUUUCGGUGGGGGAUGGGCUCGCGGCCUAUCAGCUUGUUGGUGGGGUGAUGGCCUACCAAGGCGGUGACGGGUAGCCGGCCUGAGAGGGUGGACGGUCACACUGGGACUGAGACACGGCCCAGACUCCUACGGGAGGCAGCAGUGGGGAAUAUUGCACAAUGGGCGCAAGCCUGAUGCAGCGACGCCGCGUGAGGGAUGGAGGCCUUCGGGUUGUGAACCUCUUUCGCCAGUGAAGCAGGCCUGUCCCUUGUGGAUGGGUUGACGGUAGCUGGAUAAGAAGCGCCGGCUAACUACGUG
rnacentral:rRNA from 1 species